UGCAACAAAGCGAUUAUUUCAGAAACUCGAGCGUUGUUUCAGAAAUUACCGGGUGCCUAGCCGAAGCGCGCGCGAAGAAAAAAACUGCAACAAAGCGAUUCUUUCAGAAACUCGAGCGUUAUUUCAGGAAUUACCGGGUACCCAGCCGAAGCGCGCGCGAAGAAAAAAAAAUGCAACAAAGCGAUUGUUUCAGAAACUCGAGCAUCGUUUCGGGAAUUAGGCCAAAGCCCCACAUGCGGAUCGGAUGGAUGCACCAAAUCAAACGGCUCUGAAGGUGACGGAUCAUUGGAAAUAAUCCACCGGUGGACGUGUAGCGUUGCCCUUUCAAUAAUGACAAAAGCAUGAAUAGUGUCAAAAAAUACACUAUCCACAUUUGGAUUUGUCUUUCUUGUUUCUCUUUGUGUAUUCCAAUGUAAGUGGCGGUGGAAACCACUUGUCCCAUAUACGGCAUCCACUAAAAAUAGUCUAAAUGGCGGAUGUGGAUGACCACUUAAUUCAUAUGAAAAUGUGGCUUCUCAAAGUACCAUGACACAUCCAUGN
rnacentral:lncRNA from 1 species